rnacentral:rRNA from 1 species
GCCAGACUCCUACGGGAGGCAGCAGUGAGGAGUAUUGGUCAAUGGGCGAGAGCCUGAACCAGCCAAGUCGCGUGAGGGAAGACUGCCCUAUGGGUUGUAAACCUCUUUUGUCAGGGAGCAACGCCGGCUACGUGUAGCCGGACUGAGAGUACCUGAAGAAAAAGCAUCGGCUAACUCCGUGCCAGCAGCCGCGGUAAUACGGAGGAUGCGAGCGUUAUCCGGAUUUAUUGGGUUUAAAGGGUGCGUAGGCGGAAUGCCAAGUCAGCGGUAAAAUCGCGGGGCUCAACCUCGCUCCGCCGUUGAAACUGUCGGUCUUGAGUGGGCGAGAAGUAUGCGGAAUGCGUGGUGUAGCGGUGAAAUGCAUAGAUAUCACGCAGAACUCCGAUUGCGAAGGCAGCAUACCGGCGCCCGACUGACGCUGAGGCACGAAAGCGUGGGUAUCGAACAGGAUUAGAUACCCCAGUA